AUUGCCAGCGCGAAGUGGGCGUGGCGGGGAAGUAGGGGAAAGGUCGUGCCUAGCAUGGAAACACACAGGAGCCAAGAUCUUCCCUUUCCUCCCAAAUUAAUUCUUCCCCGUGUCCGUAGAUCUCCGCUUUCCCUCCUGAUCGCUCCCUUCUUCCCGCCUCUCCAAGUCCCCAUGCCUGCGCCCCCACGCCCACGGGUGUCCUUUUGCACACACUGGAAUCCGGCAGUGCUUGCCUCCGCGUUCCUUCUGCCCGCUCCACCCGCGACCGCGUCUGCGUCCACACUUUCCAUCCUUGUCUUCACGCCCAUGUCCUCUCUGACUCCCCUGUGUCGCCUUCUCCCUGACUCCCGUCACUACUCCACUUCCAUGUCCGCACUCCUCCUCUUGACCUCAGAGUCCCUACGGGCUCAUGACCUCACUUCUUUCCUGAGCCUCUUAUGUGUCCCCGAAUCCGUGUGCAGGUCUUCUUCGGGUCUAUUGUCCCCCCAGAAAAGCACAGUGGAGCCGGCGCUGAAAGCCGUUCCUUUAUUCUGCCCCAGGCAGGCUGCAGUCACAGGCACACGGGGAAUCCGCCGAUGGCCUCGGUGCUCUGCACGAUCAUGUCCGCCAACAGAAAGCAGAAGCCUGGCGGGAGGGGAGUGCAGAGCCGGGGCUUGAAGAAGGUUACCCGCGAGAAAAGAGAAGGGUAAAGCCAGCCAUCCGAUAAAGUAGGACCAGGAGAAGAAAUCAUCGUGCUUCCACGCGUUCUUCGCUGCGUAGCCUACCAAGGCAAUCAGCAGCAGCAGCCCUGGGCCACGCCCGCCCUCCAGUUCUACUGCCUCAGCUUCCUGAGUACCCAGGAUGACAGUGGGAACCACCAGACCUGGCUUGGCAUAGUCUUCACUGAAUUAAUCUUAGAACUGUCAGAUGUCCGAAGACUUUUAUUGAAAAUGAGUGAAUUUGUCAAUGAAGGGCAAGACCGGGAUGGAGGGACAGAGGCAGUCAGGCCUCUUUUCCAUAUCUCCUGAUGACACCUUUUGAGGCGAGUGCCCCAAACAUCCUGCUGUCCUUGCUGUCUACUCACAAGCUUUCGUAGUCAGACCGGCGGGUACCACAGCGAGCACCCAGACUCAGGGAACCUGGUGGCCAGAAAGAGUUUCAGAACUUUGGUGUCCUGCCCUGCCUGGCCCUGUCCUGGUCCCCAGCAGAGCCCUCCCAAGGAAAGUGGACCAAGUCGUCACCUGCACAGAGAAAGAGAAUAGUGGAGACCCAGCCCAGGUGGAAGGACCAGGAGAACGAGGUCUGGAUCUGAGGGUGUGGAUGCUGGCUCCACCGCUCGCUGGUGUACACUGCCAUGGCCACCAUCAUGGAGAGGGCUGAGGACAAGGACAAGAGACAGCUCAGCCCCUCCUCAGGACUCACCAGCCCUGGUGUCCAAACCCAGUCCAAAGUCCACACCUGCAGCGAAAGCCGUGAUGGUUGAAACCAGGGGGCUGCAGCCCGGGCCAGACAGCGCAGGGAUACAAGAUAGAACCAGGAAGCCCACGGAUACCAGGUCCCACAGGACAGCCAGAAUGCAGAAGAUCUGUGUCACAUGGAUGUAUCCUGAUGUGAGAAGAGACUGCUGAGUAUCCAUUCCCCACUGAUCACGCCUUCUCCAGAGAGCCUGCUGCCCCUUACCUGUUACAGGAUCCUGAGACCCUGUUGGCCAGAGACCGGAGUGAGCUGAGAAGUUGGGCCCUGUGGCGAUGACCCAGAAGUCGGUGCUCAGAGCAGUUAAGGAGGACACCAGACCUAAGGAGCCAGUGAAGAGGGCCAGGGACCUGCAGCACUCCAUGGGUGAACGCUGGUUUCUGAUCCUCGGUGGGGAAAAGCACAGAUGACCCAGACUUUGGGUCUUGGAGAAAGGAGGAGGCAAGCAGACAAGGCGGCCAGGAGUCCGACACAGGGUCAGACCUGGUGGGUUUGUCUUCACAGCUCCCUGCAGCUAGCUCUUCACAGCACCCUCCCUUCCUGGGCAGUACAGUCAAUGUCCUCCUUCCUCUCCUAGUUGGUUUCCCUCCUGCUGUGUGGUGGGGGAGGAAACUGGGGGUGUCAACUUGUCAGUGGUUUAGGUGAUGGUUUAGAACUUGUCUCACUGUCACAUGUUCUGUGCCUUCCACCCUUGAAACCUCAGCAUCAGCGAGGGUUUCCUGGAAGGCCUGAGACCAAGAAGCCUGUGGUGCACAGAGGUGAGAGUUGGCUAAUCUGGCUUGGGUGUAAGUUAAAUGGAAAGAAAGAUGUGGCCAGAGGGGACAGUUGGGGACGUGUGUCAUACUUUCCUGUGGUAUUGUACCCUUCCAUUGGGGAGGAGACAGCCUUGGCGCUAAGGUCUCCACUAAUGAAGGGGUUGGUGGUCAGAACUCCAGUUCCAGGGAAGGAAGGACUGGUCAGGUGGAAGGAUAGACUCCACAUCCCUCAUUGCAGUUUAUGCCCAGGGCAGGCCCAUGGGGUGGACAGUUAGGUUUCCUAAGCCUCUGAGAGAAAGGCCUGCUGCAUCUUCACCUCAUAGAUGGGUGAGAGGCAGCUGUUCUUGGAGUGGGCUGUCCAACAUGGAAAUCACCAGGAUCAGGGUGCCUAUGAUGUAGGGACAAAAAUGACAGUGCAGACUGGGCAUGGUGGCGCAUGCCUUUAAUCCCAGCACUUGGGAGGCAGAGGUAGGAGUAUCUCCGUGAGUUCGAGGCCACCCUGAGACUACAUAGUGAAUUCCAGGUCAGCCUGAACAAGAG